UACGUAGGGUGCAAGCGUUGUCCGGAAUUAUUGGGCGUAAAGAGCUCGUAGGCGGUUCGUCGCGUCGGCUGUGAAAUCCCGAGGCUCAACCUCGGGUCUGCAGUCGAUACGGGCGGACUGGAGUUCGGCAGGGGAGACUGGAAUUCCUGGUGUAGCGGUGAAAUGCGCAGAUAUCAGGAGGAACACCGGUGGCGAAGGCGGGUCUCUGGGCCGAUACUGACGGCUGAGGAGCGAAAGCGUGGGGAGCGAACAGG
rnacentral:rRNA from 1 species